rnacentral:lncRNA from 10 species
AUCAAAAGAAGGGCGCCCAGCACCACGCCCGCCGCGCACACACAUGGCGUUCAGUAAGUGGUUCUCUCCCCUGCACCGCGUCUAGACCUCGUUUCUCCACAGAGAGUGGGUGGCAGGAAUUUUCCAAAUCGGCUCGAUGUCCCCACUCCAUCGCUUCAUGCACUGGCCCAGGACACACCCAUAGUUUGGCGAAGUGCAGACUUGGAGAAACUUGGGGGAGAACGGAACCCAAGGCCCAGCCCCGCGCACGCGCGCCGCAGCCUUCGCCCAGAGCAGCGUCUGCUAGUUACCUUUCACCUACUUCGCUGCGACUCGCCGCGCGGGGUAACUCGAGGUCAGACUCGGGGCCCCGCGCGCUUGCGCGCCGCCCGCUGCCCGCCGCCCGCCGCGGCUGGGAGUCCGGAGGUUUCAUCUUGUGAUGGUUUCGGUUCGGCUCUCAAAUGGAGGAUGGCUACGUUGAAGACAGCUGGGGCUGCCGCACGCCUCGGGGUUACUGUCGGGCACCCGGCGGGCGGGGCCGGCGCUGGGGCGGGGGAGGGCUUCCUCGCCCUCAGAAACCACAUUCGCAGAAACGUUUUUAACUGGCAAGGUUUCGAGUUCCCAACCACAGCACCCUCAGUGAUGGUUUUCAGAAGACCUUGUUAGCUCCUCUCCUCCAGAGACCCAUCCUUCGCUGACAUCCCACCGAUUUGGGAGCAGGAAAAAACAGACUCCUGCAAAAUACCUCUUCUUCCAGUGCCCUGUACCCCUCUCUACUUACUUCGAGUCCCUGCAGUCCAGCAACAACCCCAAACGAGUGAAGGGAGGAGACAUAGGUUUGUCCAGGCUCUGCCACCGACGGGUGAUUUGGGAUGAGUCCUUCUCCAGUAUCAUUAUCUUCAACUGUAAAACAUGAGGGUUAGUCCGAAUGAUCUCCAAACGCUUCAGCAUUAAAGUUAGGUGAUGAAUCCUAAGAUUUUGCAGUUCUAUAAUGUCACAUCUCCUCCGUUUCAGAGAGGGCCCGCAGGGAAUCUUGUUAAGGAUAACUGCCAUCGAAGUUACAAGUUUGUUCUGUGAUUGAAGAGUUUCAGGUCUUCUAGAUUUCUUUGGCAUGACGCAUAACUAUUUCAAGAUACUAACAUUUGGGCAGGGCGUGGUGGCUCAGGCCUGUAGUCCUAACACUUUGGGGGGCCGAGGCGGGCAGAUCACCUGAGGGUAGGAGUUAGAGACCAGUCUGGCCAACAUGGUGAAACCCCGUCUCUACUAAAAAUACAAAAAUUAGCCGGGCGUGGCGGUACAUGCCUGUAAUCCCAGCUACUCAGGAGGCUAAGGCAGAAGAAUCGCUUGAAUCCAGGAGGCGGAGGUUGCAGUGAGCUGAGAUCACGCCACUGCACCCCAGCCUGGGCAACAGAGGGAGACUCCUUCUGAAAAAAAAAAAAAAAAAAAGAUACUAACAUUUAAGGUUAAGAAUGUAGGUCAUUUCCCCAGAGGACUAACAGACUCGAGGGCACACACCCCAAAUUUUAUUUCUUUGACUCUGUCAUUGCCCCCAGAACAGUAUAUAAUGUAGCCAAUUGUUGUGGAUUUAUUGUUAAUGAAUAAAAUAAAAUUUGUGACUAGCAGGGAUAGGGGUCCUAUGCUGUCAUUUUAAUAUGAAUAGAGUUUUUAAAAACUCACAGAUAAAUGUAUCACAUGAGAAAAAAAUACAAAGGCUGAACAUAGAGCAGCAAUGUUAAUCUGAUAAAUCGUAAAUAAGUGUAUACAUUUUAAUAGAGAUUAGUACAAAGACCUGUAAU